AACGAACGCUGGCGGCAGGCCUAACACAUGCAAGUCGAGCGGACCCUUCGGGGUUAGCGGCGGACGGGUGAGUAACGCGUGGGAAUAUGCCCUUCUCUACGGAAUAGUCCUGGGAAACUGGGGGUAAUACCGUAUACGCCCUUUGGGGGAAAGAUUUAUCGGAGCAGGAUUAGCCCGCGUUGGAUUCGGUAGUUGGUGGGGUAAUGGCCUACCACGCCGACGAUCCAUAGCUGGUUUGAGAGGAUGAUCAGCCACACUGGGACUGAGACACGGCCCGGACGCCUACGGGAGGCAGCAGUAGGGAAUCUUCCGCGAUGGGCGCAAGCCGGACGGAGCAACGCGGCGUGAGUGAUGAAGGUCUUGGGAGCGUAAAAAUCUGUUAUUAGGGAAGAACAUAUGUGUAAGUAACUGUGCACAUCCUGACGGUACCUAAUCAGAAAGCCACGGCUAACUACGUG
rnacentral:rRNA from 1 species